rnacentral:rRNA from 1 species
GCAUAACUCGAGUGUGGCAGAGGGGGGUGGAAUUCACGUGUAGCAGUGAAAUGCGUAGAGAUGUGGGAGGAACACCGAUGGCGAAGGCAGCCCCCUGGGUCAACACUGACGCUCAUGCACGAAAGCGUGGGGAGCAAACAGGAUUAGAUACCCUGGUAGUCCACGCCCUAAACGAUGCGAACUAGGUGUUGGGGAAGGAGACUUUCUUAGUACCGCAGCUAACGCGUGAAGUUCGCCGCCUGGGGAGUACGGUCGCAAGAUUAAAACUCAAAGGAAUUGACGGGGACCCGCACAAGCGGUGGAUGAUGUGGAUUAAUUCGAUGCAACGCGAAAAACCUUACCUACCCUUGACAUGUCAGGAAGUCUGCUGAGAGGUGGAUGUGCCCGAAAGGGAGCCUGAACACAGGUGCUGCAUGGCUGUCGUCAGCUCGUGUCGUGAG